rnacentral:lncRNA from 1 species
AAGGAGCAACUUUGAUGCAUGGAACAACAGAAUGAGGUCGAUGAAUAAGGUAACUUCUUUUCCUUAAUCUAUUUAAUUUUUUCCUUUUCUAUGCUUAUAUUUAUAUUUAUGUUCAUUGAUUUUAUAUAAAAGAUGUGGGCAUAAGAUCAUGAAUAUUUUAUGAAUUUUGUAAUGCAUUUUCUCUUCAUAUUUGAUGAUUUUUUUCUUGCUUUUCAUUAUAAUUAUUAUCUAAGCUUCUCAACAAACUUAUUUCUAGCACUUUAUUUUAAAGUUUAUAAUACCCAUGUUUCUUCGUUAGUGCUAGAUCUUCCUCACUCUUAUAUGUUUUACAAUUUUGUUUUCAUUUCAUCGUAACUCCCUAUCUACUUAUGUUACAUUUUUGGUCUAGUGCGUUCUCUACUGAAAUGUGUGAGAAGUUCUGUAUUGAAGACAUGCUAUAGGUUAUAAUUCUUCCUUCGAAAUAAUUUACAAUCAUAUUUGUAUUCCAUUUUAACCAAAAAAUAUUUGAUUUUUGUUGUUGAUAGGUUGAUCAUUGUGAGGUUAAAUCUCAUAAAAAGUUCUAUCCAGAUUUUUUCUCAUCUGAGGGAUAAGAAAUGAGGUGUAUGACUGUCGCUCACAAGAAUCAAAUUAUAACAUUUUGGUAAGUUCUAUCUAGUUAAAGUCAAAGGAACUAUUAGGUAUAAAUAUUAUAGUUGAUUAUAUGCGUAUAACGAGACUCAAGUGGUUAUAAUUAGGUUCUUGUUUUAUAAAGCCUUGUUUGCAACAUUUUGGAGAUACCACAACAAAACCACAUUGCAUACAAUUUGAAUGGUAAGUGAAUAUGUUACAACAAAACCAUAUUCUGUAAGUCAAUGUUUGUAUGCAACACGAAAAACAAGAAUAUAUAUUAUAGUACUUUUUGAAGAAAAUGG